rnacentral:rRNA from 1 species
CUGCCGCCCGAGUGGUGAUCGAUUUUAUUGAGCCUAAAGCGUCCGUAGCCGGACUAGUAAACCCUUGGGUAAAUUGGGCAGCUUAACUGUCCAAAUUCCGAGGGGACUGCUAGUCUUGGGACCGGGAGAGGUCAGAGGUACUCAAGGGGUAGGGGCUAAAUCCUGUAAUCCUUUGGGGACCACCAGUGGCGAAGGCGUCUGACUAGAACGGAUCCGACGGUAAGGGACGAAACCCUGGGGCGCGAACCGGAUUAGAUACCCGAGUAGUCC